GAAAGAAAAACGACAACCAAACACAUAUUUUCUUAGGAUUAGUACAUAAAAUCAAAUUGUUUAAAACAUUUUUACUGGCUACAAAGACCCAAAAGAAGCCUGCUCAAGUGUAUAAUACAUGUGCCUUCUACAUUGACCUAUGGGGUGAACAUACAAUACCCAGCAUGUACUGGAAUUAAGAAUGCUCAUUUCUUGGCAUAGGUAAUUGCCAUGGGAUUCUGGGGUGUGAUUUUGAAGCCUUGAAGGGCCUGCAUGGCGACUGAAGACUGGACAUCAUCGUCAAAUUCCACAAACGCAAUACCUGGCUUUGCUUCAAUCAUUCGAACUUCUCUAAAGCCAGGAUACUGUUUGAAGAGCACUUCAAGCAUCAUACUUGUUGUCUCGUAGGGCAGAUUCUGUAUAAAGAGAAUAUUAUUUGGUUCCGCAACAUCUUGAGCACUUGGCUUUCCUUGUCGAGAUGCAGCAGCUGGACCUCCGCCGUUACUGUCAGUUCUUGAGCCAUUAGCUGCACCAGUUUGCGGAGGAGUUUCUUCAGUACGUUUCCUUUUCUCCACUUUUUCAUCUUGUUUCUUUUUCUUGUCAUAGGUCCCCUCUGCCUUAGCAAUACAAUCUGACUUUGAUUUAGCAUAUUGUAUCCGCAUUGGUUUGUCGUAAAACGGGAAGUUUUGCAUUUGCCUCACAGCAUUACUGGCAGAUGUUACUUCACUAAACACAACCCAUGAUUGUCCUCUAAGUUUGGGAGUCUUAAGAGCUACUAUAUCGACAAUCCUCCCAUACUGCGAGAACAAGCAAUACAGAGACCUCUUUAGCUCUUCUUUCUUGACCUUCUCGUUUAAGUUCUUAAUGUAAAUAGUUUGAUUCGGUGGUAUGUCUCCCGUAAGCAUCAUUACCGAGAAGAGAAGAGCAACUUUCUCACUAUCUGUAUAUUCACUG
rnacentral:misc_RNA from 1 species